GAUCCUGGCUCAGAUUGAACGCUGGCGGCAGGCCUUACACAUGCAAGUCGGACGUGAAAGCUCUUCGGAGUGAGUAGAGUGGCGGACGGGUGAGUAACGCGUAGGAAUCUACCUGGUAGUGGGGGACAACAUGGUGAAAACCAUGCUAAUACCGCAUACGCCCUAUGGGGGAAAGCGGGGGAUCUUCGGACCUCGCGCUAUCAGAUGAGCCUGCGUAAGAUUAGCUAGUUGGUGGGGUAAAGGCCUACCAAGGCGACGAUCUUUAGCUGGUCUGAGAGGAUGAUCAGCCACACUGGGACUGAGACACGGCCCAGACUCCUACGGGAGGCAGCAGUGGGGAAUAUUGCGCAAUGGGCGAAAGCCUGACGCAGCCAUGCCGCGUGUGUGAAGAAGGCCUUAGGGUUGUAAAGCACUUUCAGCGGGGAGGAAAAGUUGUAGUUUAAUAAGCUACAGCCGUGACGUUACCCGCAGAAGAAGCACCGGCUAAUUCAGUG
rnacentral:rRNA from 1 species